rnacentral:rRNA from 1 species
CCUACGGGUGGCAGCAGUGGGGAAUAUUGGACAAUGGGGGGAACCCUAAUCCAGCCAUGCCGCGUGUGUGAAGAAGGCCCUCGGGUUGUAAAGCACUUUCAGUGAGGAAGAACGCCUGGUGGUUAAUACCCAUCAGGAAAGACAUCACUCACAGAAGAAGCACCGGCUAACUCCGUGCCAGCAGCCGCGGUAAUACGGAGGGUGCGAGCGUUAAUCGGAAUUACUGGGCGUAAAGCGCGCGUAGGUGGCUUGAUAAGCCGGUUGUGAAAGCCCCGGGCUCAACCUGGGAACGGCAUCCGGAACUGUCAAGCUAGAGUGCAGGAGAGGAAGGUAGAAUUCCCGGUGUAGCGGUGAAAUGCGUAGAGAUCGGGAGGAAUACCAGUGGCGAAGGCGGCCUUCUGGACUGACACUGACACUGAGGUGCGAAAGCGUGGGUAGCAAACAGGAUUAGAUACCCUAGUAGUC